rnacentral:rRNA from 1 species
GACGUAGGGCGCGAGCGUUGUCCGGAUUUAUUGGGCGUAAAGAGCUCGUAGGCGGCUUGUCGCGUCUGUUGUGAAAGCCCGGGGCUUAACCCCGGGGUCUGCAGUGGAUACGGGCAGGCUAGAGGCAGGUAGGGGAGAACGGAAUUCCCGGUGUAGCAGUGAAAUGCGUAGAGAUCGGGAGGAACAUCAGUUGCGAAGGCGGCUCUCUGGACCAGCACUGACACUGAGGCACGAAAGCGUGGGGAGCAAACAGG